AGGACGAACGCUGGCGGCGUGCUUAACACAUGCAAGUCGAACGGUGAAGCCUUUCGGGGUGGAUCAGUGGCGAACGGGUGAGUAACACGUGGGCAAUCUGCCCUGCAUUCUGGGACAAGCCUUGGAAACGAGGUCUAAUACCGGAUACGACGCAUCUCCGCAUGGGGUGUGCGUGGAAAGCUCCGGCGAUGCAGGAUGAGCCCGCGGCCUAUCAGCUUGUUGGUGGGUAAUGGCCUACCAAGGCGACGAC
rnacentral:rRNA from 1 species